UAAUCAGAGUAACUAGUCCCUGGUGGACUUGACUCGGUAUGUACACUGUAAUUUCAAAACCUGUUCCAAUUUUAUGUUAUGUUCAUGUAGCUGUGGUAUAUGUGUGUGUGUGUAUAUGUGUGCAUUCUAACCUUGUCUGCCAUCCCCCUACCAGAUACCGGCUGCACUACUCCGGUCAGGUAGUGCCACUGUGUUUCUUUACACAGUUGGAUACUUGGUAUCUCAGAGUGGUCAUGAGGUGAUCUACUGAUACAGUAUGGAGGUGGUUUGUACAGGUAGUUUUGCAUGGAGCAUUUAGUUUGCGUGGAGCGUUAGUUUGCGUGGAGCAUUAGUUGAAUUUUAAGCUUGGAAUAUAAGUGAAGUAUUUUGUAUGGAGCUUGGUCCUUACAUUCAGGGUGAAGUGGCUUUUGAGGGCAUUUUGCAUGGUGUGACUAUAAUGUAUAUGGGUGUGUGUGUGUGUGACGUUGGCUUCUUACACUGAGAACUAUAGUCAUUAAUUGGACUUCUUAGUGUAAAUAAUAAUAAUUGUUGUAAAUAAUAUUGUUGUCGUGUUUUGGCAAUUUGUAAAAAUAAUUGUGUGUAUGUAUAUGACAUUUUUACAUUUUUCAUAA